rnacentral:rRNA from 1 species
AUUGAACGCUGGCGGCAGGCCUAACACAUGCAAGUCGAGCGAGCGGCGGACGGGUGAGUAAUACAUGGGGACUGCCCGAUAGAGGGGGAUAACUACUGGAAACGGUGGCUAAUACCGCAUACUAUCGGAUAACCCAUAGGGGAUUAGCUAGUAGGUGGGGUACAGGCUCACCUAGGCGACGAUCCCUAGCUGGUCUGAGAGGAUGAUGAGCGACACUGGCACUGAGACACGGCCCAGACUCCUACGGAGGCAGCAGUGGGGAAUAUUGCACAAUGCGCGCAAGCCUGAUGCAGCCAUGCCGCGUGUGUGAAGAAGGCCUGAGGGUUGUAACAUACUGUCAGCGGUGAUGCGUUACCCGCAGAGGAAGCACCGGCUUACUCCGUGCCAGCAGCCGCGGUAAUUC